rnacentral:rRNA from 1 species
CCUACGGGUGGCAGCAGUGGGGAAUAUUGCACAAUGGGGGAAACCCUGAUGCAGCGACGCCGCGUGAGUGAAGAAGUAUUUCGGUAUGUAAAGCUCUAUCAGCAGGGAAGAAAAAAGACGGUACCUGACUAAGAAGCCCCGGCUAACUACGUGCCAGCAGCCGCGGUAAUACGUAGGGGGCAAGCGUUAUCCGGAUUUACUGGGUGUAAAGGGAGCGUAGACGGUGCGUCAAGUCUGAAGUGAAAGCGCGGGGCUUAACCCCGGGAUUGCUUUGGAAACUGGCGCGCUAGAGUGCUGGAGAGGUAAGUGGAAUUCCUAGUGUAGCGGUGAAAUGCGUAGAUAUUAGGAGGAACACCAGUGGCGAAGGCGGCUUACUGGACAGUAACUGACGUUGAGGCUCGAAAGCGUGGGGAGCAAACAGGAUUAGAUACCCGAGUAGUC